AGUGGGUGUAACGUACCCACUAGCCUACGACGGGUACGGGUUGUGAGAGCAAGAGCCCGGAGAUGGAUUCUGAGACAUGAAUCCAGGCCCUACGGGGUGCAGCAGGCGCGAAAACUUUACAAUGCGGGCAACCGCGAUAAGGGGACCUCGAGUGCUGGGUUACAAACCUGGCUGUUGGGCUGCCUAAAAAGCAGUCUAUAGCAAGGGCCGGGCAAGACCGGUGCCAGCCGCCGCGGUAACACCGGCGGCUCGAGUGGUAACCGCUGUUAUUGGGUCUAAAGGGUCUGUAGCCUGCCGGCUAAGUCUCUUGGGAAAUCUGGCAUCUCAAGUGUCAGGCUGCCAGGGGAUACUGGUCAGCUUGGGACCGGGAGAGGUGAGAGGUACCUCAGGGGUAGGGGUGAAAUCUUGUAAUCCUUGAAGGACCACCAGUGGCGAAGGCGUCUCACCAGAACGGACCUGACGGCAAGGGACGAAAGCUAGGGGCACGAACCGGAUUAGAU
rnacentral:rRNA from 1 species